CGCUUAUCUUUACAGGGAGCAGGGCAGCCGCGGCCAGCGAGGGGCAGGAGCAGGGCGGAGCCGACCCCGCGCUCAGAUGGGGCAAUUCCCCUCCCCGUAGCGCCGGCACUUCAUCACCUUCAGUGAUGAACUGAAUGCAGUAGGAUGUCAUGAUCUCAUCAUUGUAAGGUAAAUGAAGUCCAAAGGGUGCCACUGGUGUUCACAGGGGGAGGCCUGGCCUUGCCCUGGGGAGGAGAACUCACCGAUUUCUGCUGAGCAUCGUCCUUCCCCGUGGGAGCAGGGAUGGUUUCUGAGUAACAAAAUGCUGCCUGGGAGUUUUUGUUGGCGUGUCUUUGGUCCUCUGGGAUAUAGCCAGGAGGUGAAGGUGCUGAGCCCUCAGCACAGCGUUGGCAAACAGGUUGGAAAGGGGCAUGGCCGGGAAGGUGGCAGCUUCCUGUGGCCACUGCAGUCCCAGAGUGAUCACAGCAAGGAAGAGAGGAG